rnacentral:rRNA from 1 species
UGGGGAAUUUUGGACAAUGGGCGAAAGCCUGAUCCAGCAAUGCCGCGUGUGUGAAGAAGGCCUUCGGGUUGUAAAGCACUUUUGUCCGGAAAGAAAUCCUUGGCUCUAAUACAGUCGGGGGAUGACGGUACCGGAAGAAUAAGCACCGGCUAACUACGUGCCAGCAGCCGCGGUAAUACGUAGGGUGCAAGCGUUAAUCGGAAUUACUGGGCGUAAAGCGUGCGCAGGCGGUUUGCUAAGACCGAUGUGAAAUCCCCGGGCUCAACCUGGGAACUGCAUUGGUGACUGGGCAGGCUAGAGUAUGGCAGAGGGGGGUAGAAUUCCACGUGUAGCAGUGAAAUGCGUAGAGAUGUGGAGGAAUACCGAUGGCGAAGGCAGCCCCCUGGGCCAAUACUGACGCUCAUGCACGAAAGCGUGGGGAGCAAACAGGAUUAGAUACCCUGGUAGUCCACGCCCUAAACGAUGUCAACUAGUUGUUGGGGAUUCAUUUCCUUAGUAACGUAGCUAACGCGUGAAGUUGACCGCCUGGGGAGUACGGUCGCAAGAUU